rnacentral:rRNA from 1 species
UGCAGUCGAACGGAAGGCCCUUCGGGGUACUCGAGUGGCGAACGGGUGAGUAACACGUGGGUGAUCUGCCCUGCACUUUGGGAUAAGCCUGGGAAACUGGGUCUAAUACCGAAUAUGACCACGCUCUUCAUGGGGUGUGGUGGAAAGCUUUUGCGGUGUGGGAUGGGCCCGCGGCCUAUCAGCUUGUUGGUGGGGUAAUGGCCUACCAAGGCGACGACGGGUAGCCGGCCUGAGAGGGUGACCGGCCACACUGGGACUGAGAUACGGCCCAGACUCCUACGGGAGGCAGCAGUGGGGAAUAUUGCACAAUGGGCGCAAGCCUGAUGCAGCGACGCCGCGUGAGGGAUGACGGCCUUCGGGUUGUAAACCUCUUUCACCAGGGACGAAGCGUAAGUGACGGUACCUGGAGAAGAAGCACCGGCCAACUACGUGCCAGCAGCCGCGGUAAUACGUAGGGUGCGAGCGUUGUCCGGAAUUACUGGGCGUAAAGAGCUCGUAGGUGGUUUGUCGCGUUGUUCGUGAAAACUCACAGCUUAACUGUGGGCGUGCGGGCGAUACGGGCAGACUAGAGUACUGCAGGGGAGACUGGAAUUCCUGGUGUAGCGGUGGAAUGCGCAGAUAUCAGGAGGAACACCGGUGGCGAAGGCGGG